UACGUAGGCUGCAAGCGUUAAUCGGAAUUACUGGGCGUACAGCGUGCGCAGGCGGUUUUGUAAGUCUGUCGUGAAAUCCCCGGGCUCAACCUGGGAAUUGCGAUGGAGACUGCAAGGCUAGAAUCUGGCAGAGGGGGGUAGAAUUCCACGUGUAGCAGUGAAAUGCGUAGAGAUGUGGAGGAACACCGAUGGCGAAGGCAGCCCCCUGGGUCAAGAUUGACGCUCAUGCACGAAAGCGUGGGGAGCAAACAGG
rnacentral:rRNA from 1 species